UCUCAUGUUGGGGGAGGGGGAUGUUACAGGCAAUGUAAAAUUGUCCUUCCUACUCUCUUCAAUGUGUGUGUGCUUUUUUUCCCCUUACUUCUGUGCUAUACUCAUGUAACAUGAUCUCUUACCCGGUUUCCUUAACUCUUGUAAAGGUAUUUUGUGUGUGGAUCAUUUUCAAAUUGAUAUUUGUGCAGAAGGAUGAUUCCUGAAGAGUCCUAGCCACCAUUUUGCUAAGCAUCUCUCUCAACCCUUUGUACCAUCUGCUCAAUUUUCCUAUAAACCUAAGACUGAUAUAAAAAUAAAGCAUUAAAACCAAAAAGGCUUUUUGUAUGGAGCAAGUUCUGAUACAGAUCAAAUAAAGAUGAAUCAUAUGAGUAGGCACUGCCAAGAAACUUCUCCACAGGUCAGAUAGUGAUAAUUUUCUGAAAAUGGGACUUUUUUGGGAUCUCCAACUCAGCCUCUCCCUCUAGUGACUGCUAGGCUACUGAUUUUCACAAUUACUGUAGUUGUCAGUUGUUCAUUUUCAAGGCUACUGUAGACCUGGGAGUAGAGGGAUUGGAAUAGGACAACUGAAAAUUUCACAAAGCUCAUGGUUCUUAUAAAGGUUCAGCCAUUUUUCUUGAACAAAUGCUCCUUGGACUAUCACAAGCCUUUGAUUAAUCGCACAGUUCUGAAAACAUGGAUUUGGACAAUUUAUUAUUGAUGCUCUUAUUUUUAUUGAGCAGAUUUUUGGAGCUCCUUGCUCCACCAUUCCUCUACUAUUUCACUUUUAGUCCCUUUUCACUGAGACUUGUCUUAUAGAGCCACAGCUCUAUGUCCUCUGUACUCAUUCAUUUGUUCAAAUGAUAUAAGUUGAUUUGCCCAGGAAACAGACUACUUCUCAUCCCAAGAAAUAUUAAACAGCCUUAGAAACCAGAAUGUAUACAUACUUAAAUACAUAUAUGUGUACAUACACACAUACCCUCAGCCCCAUGCCAAUGGAUCUAUCUACUACAUGUAUAAUUCCACUUGCAAGAAGAGGUAAAUACUAAUGUUAAUGUGAAAGGAAAAGAUCUUGCUCCCAUAGUACUCUUCCCCAAUCAGAUGCUUUUAUCAGUUUCUCAUCCUUAUAGAUUUGGGUGAUUUUAUGUUCAAGAGAAGAAAACAAACUUUGACUUUAAUUCCCCAGAAGGGCCAAUGUAAAAAUAUCAGAGAAAACAAGAAGGGAGGGACAGAGGAAAAGGAAUUUCCACACACCAACAAUGUACCAGAUACUUGAACAAUCUUAAGAGUGGUUGCAGGGGUUGGGCAACAGAGUAUAGGAAGGCUCAGUAACUGUACUACUUUUCACUGAGAUGAUACAAGCUCAGCUGAUACCUGCUUGCUGCACCUUCCUGGAGUCAUGCCAUGGUUUCCUGAUGCUGCUGAUGUCUCAGCUGACCUUGACAUACUCUAUGUCUUUGAAGCUAUGAAUAAGGCUGUGGUGAAAUCAUUAGGUGGAAUGAGAGUCUCAAGAAGUUCUAGGUAGCAUUCUCUAUGAUAGAGAAUAUUCAAUAGCAAACCUUUUGAGGUUCCUGCCUUUGUAGCAUGGAGUGUGUAACCAAAUACUGCAGGCUGAGCUCAAACUCCUGAGCUCAAGUGAUCCUCCUGCCUCAGCCUCCUGAGUAACUGGAUCUAUGAUGGGUGCACCUAAUCUAAGCCCAGUCUGGAUCAUGUGUCUACACCCUGGAAGGGGAGAUAGCCCAGAGUAUACACAGAUUGGAGGAACUCAUGAAUGUUAUGUCAAAAGCAACAGAAAUCCGAUCACCUGCAGACAUUGGAAUCUUCUCGUCUAGGCACAGUUUACAUUGUCUUCACUGCUCUGCUUGCCACACAUUUGAGAUCUUCAACAGACUCUGGAUUCUUGGCAAGUGUGACUAGAAAGACUGGUGCCAAUAAGUAUCAUAGGGCAUAGAAAAUGUUUAAGGAUCACAGUCAAGAAUAAAAGUAGUACUGCUCUGUUUCCCCACCAAUUUAACAUAGAACACUGUCUGCUGUGCUUAAGAGAUCAGUUUGCUGGGGUUUUGGCUCAGAUGGACUGGUGUAAUUAGUAUAUUUACCUGUCUUAUAUUCCAAUUACUUAAUCUCCAACUCAUCACCAUGUAUAAAUAUUAUGCUUGGGCUUGGGUUUUGGCUCAGCUGUACAGCGCUCACCUAGCAUGUGUGAGGCCCUGGGUUCAAUCCUCAACACCACAUAAAAUAAAUAAACAAAGGUAUUGUGUCUAACCAAAAAAUAAAUAUUUGGAAAAAAACAUUAUGCUUUUACAGUUUUUCACUAAAGGCUGCUUCUUCAGCUAGAGUUCCAUUGCUGGAAAUUCCAUGGAGUAGGAUGUAGGUUACUCAGGGGAAUUGUAGUCCAGGUUUAAAUUCUACUUCUGUCACAGAGCACUGUGAAUGAAGAGUCUGAAGCAACUAGACAGGUCUUGAAUAAGGAAAGCCUAACCUAACGCAGUGUCUAUAAAUUAUAUCUGGAUAACUCCCUAUAUAUUUAUAGCUCUUAUAUUCUCCUGAACUUAAGACUUAGACAUCCAAGUGGAAAUAUCAAGUAGGCAGUUGGAUAUAUAAUAAACAUCAAAUACAUAGCAUGUCCAAAGAAAAACUCUGGUGAUGUUAUCCAACAGACCUAUUUUUUUGCAAAUCUUUCCUUUCACAAUGAAGAAUGCCAAGAUAAAUGCCUCAAUCACUGCUGAUCUUUUUUUUUUUUUUCAUUUUUGGUGGUCCUGGGGAUUGAACCCAGAGCCUUGUGCAUGCAAGGCAAGCACUCUACCAACUGAGCUACGUUCCCAACCCAAUCACCACUGAUCUUACCGAGGAUUCUUGAAUAAAUAUUCUUCCAAUUGUUCUAAGCUUCUUGUUAAAUUCAAGAGUUUGGAAAAAGUUAAAUUUCAUAAUUUGGAAUAUUUUCACUGCUUUGGUAGAAGAGCAGAUUUAUGGAGAUUCGUAUUCCAUCA